CUUAAAUUUUUCCGUAAAGUAAACCAUGAAACUGUUGACUGCGACCAUUUCAACUAGUUUUAUUUCCGGAUAGCCCUUUAAGCUCCCGUUUUAGUAUAAUAACUCUUUUAAGGAUUAUAACUUGGACUUCCAAUAUGUCGACAUGGAUAAACAGCCUCAAGUCAACUUUGUAAGUGCUCCGUCACCAUGAUGUGUCGCUGUGGUUAUGCAGAUUGUUGAGAGCAAUAUGAUGAGGGAAGACAGGAAAGAGUCUUAUUGUUUGUAUGUACUCAUGGAAAAAUGGUGUUCGAGAGUUGGCGAAUGAGGAUUUGCUUGCAGCAUUGAAGAACGAUAAUAUGCAAAGAACAGAAAGAAAGGUUCUCUUAACAUAGAAAGUAAAGAAAUAAUGAAGUUCACACUACAGUUGACAAUCUGGAUGUGUUUCCUUUGCUAUUUGAACAUGAUUUAUUUUAACUUACAUAACAAGUAUGCACUACAAUAAUGACUAUCUAUAUUAAUAGUAAUGAUAUUCCAUUAAACAUGGAUAUGGAAAAAAUAUUCUUUGACAGUGCAAGAUAAGAUAAAUCCAGACAUAGUCAGAGUCUUCAGUUAACUUGGAUGUGUUCCAUUUGUUUCAUCCACAAACUUGAAAUUUGUCUUGUAACUACGUGUAUUUUUAUGAGGUUAAGUGGUGAGUAAUCAACCUUUAUCAUAACAUUUUCUUAU